UCCGGCUUAUCACCGGCGGUUUCCUUAGAGUGCCCAACUUAAUGAUGGCAACUAAGGACGAGGGUUGCGCUCGUUGCGGGACUUAACCCAACAUCUCACGACACGAGCUGACGACAGCCAUGCAGCACCUGUGUUACGGCUCCCUUUCGGGCACCCUCACAUCUCUAUGAGGUUCCGUACAUGUCAAGGGUAGGUAAGGUUUUUCGCGUUACGUCGAAUUAAACCACAUCAUCCACCGCUUGUGCGGGCCCCCGUCAAUUCAUUUGAGUUUCAGCCUUGCGACCGUACUCCCCAGGCGGCAUAUUUAACGCGUUAGCUCCGGCACAGACCAAAUGAAUGGCCCACACCAAAUAUGCAUCGUUUAGGGCGUGGACUAC
rnacentral:misc_RNA from 1 species